CCCCUCCUCAGUUGCUGAGUUGCAGCUGUGGCCUCUCAACUCCCAUCCUGGAUCUGCCUGCCAUCCAGUCCCGGCCCUGGCCCCAGGCCUGUUCCCUUUGCACCGGUCUCCCUAUUUGAUGUGACCCUUCUUUUUGAAGUGGGCUUUGCCGGGUGGGGUGCUUCAAGGCCUGUCAGUGCUGAACCUUGCAGCCUGCACAGAGCUUGAUGUGAUUCUUGUAGAUGCUGACACCUGGGGCUUCCCACGGCAUCAGUGGCAUCCCAGACUGAACAGACAGACUCUCAAGAGCAGGCCAGGAAGCUUUGGUCUGGAAAACCUUACCACGGCUCAGAGUAGGAGGCAGGUAGAGCAGGAUGUGGAGGCCCCAUCAGAACUGGUGCAACCGGUGAGGAGGUGGAUGAAGCUGCUGCGCCCUGUCAUCCCCCUUGAAAGUGAGGUUCAGGGCAG
rnacentral:lncRNA from 1 species